GAUGAACGCUGGCGGCGUGCCUAAUACAUGCAAGUCGAGCGGUAAGGCCCUUCGGGGUACACGAGCGGCGGACGGCUGAGUAACACGUAGGAACGUACCCCAAACUGAGGGAUAAGCACCAGAAAUGGUGUCUAAUACCGCAUGUGGCCUUCGGGCUAAAGCUCCGGCGGUUUGGGAACGGCCUGCGUCCGAUUAGCUAGUUGGUAGUGUAAUGGACUACCAAGGCGACGAUCGGUAGCUGGUCUGAGAGGAUGAUCAGCCAGACUGGGACUGAGACACGGCCCAGACUCCUACGGGAGGCAGCAGUAGGGAAUUUUCCACAAUGGGGGCAACCCUGAUGGAGCAACGCCGCGUGCAGGAUGAAGGCCUUCGGGUUGUAAACUGCUUUUAUCUGUGACGAUUAUGACGGUAGCAGAUGAAUAAGGACCUGCUAACUACGUGCCAGCAGCCGCCGUAA
rnacentral:rRNA from 1 species